UACGUAGGUGGCAAGCGUUGUUCGGAAUUACUGGGCGUAAAGGGCGCGUAGGCGGUUCGUUAAGUCCUGUGUGAAAUCCCCCGGCUCAACUGGGGAACUGCACAGGAAACUAGCGGGCUUGAGUUCGGGAGAGGGAAGCGGAAUUCCGGGUGUAGCGGUGAAAUGCGUAGAUAUCCGGAGGAACACCAGUGGCGAAGGCGACUACCUGGCCUGUUCUUGACGCUGAGGCGCGAAAGCUAGGGGAGCAAACGGG
rnacentral:rRNA from 1 species